rnacentral:rRNA from 1 species
GAUGAACGCUGGCGGCGUGCCUAAUACAUGCAAGUCGAGCGAACGGACGAGAAGCUUGCUUCUCUGAUGUUAGCGGCGGACGGGUGAGUAACACGUGGAUAACCUACCUAUAAGACUGGGAUAACUUCGGGAAACCGGAGCUAAUACCGGAUGAUAUUUUGAACCGCAUGGUUCAAAAGUGAAAGACGGUCUUGCUGUCACUUAUAGAUGGAUCCGCGCUGCAUUAGCUAGUUGGUAAGGUAACGGCUUACCAAGGCAACGAUGCAUAGCCGACCUGAGAGGGUGAUCGGCCACACUGGAACUGAGACACGGUACAGACUCCUACGGGAGGCAGCAGUAGGGAAUCUUCCGCAAUGGGCGAAAGACUGACGGAGCAACGCCGCGUGAGUGAUGAAGGUCUUCGGAUCGUAAAACUCUGUUAUUAGGGAAGAACAUAUGUGUAAGUAACUGUGCACAUCUUGACGGUACCUAAUCAGAAAGCCACGGCUAACUACGUG